rnacentral:rRNA from 1 species
CUAAGAAUCUUGCGCAAUGGGCGAAAGCCUGACGCAGCAACGCCGCGUGGGGGAUGAAGGCCCUCGGGUUGUAAACCCCUUUUGCGAGGGAAGAAGUUCUGACGGUACCUCGCGAAUAAGCCACGGCUAACUACGUGCCAGCAGCCGCGGUAAUACGUAGGUGGCAAGCGUUGUCCGGAUUUAUUGGGCGUAAAGCGCCCGCAGGCGGCCUGGCAAGUCUCAGGUGAAAUCUCCCGGCUUAACUGGGAGGGUGCCCGGGAAACUGUCAGGCUCGAGGCAGGGAGAGGGAUGUGGAAUUCCCGGUGUAGUGGUGAAAUGCGUAGAUAUCGGGAGGAACACCAGUGGCGAAGGCGGCAUCCUGGCCCUGUCCUGACGCUCAGGGCGAAAGCGUGGGGAGCAAACCGGAUUAGAUACCCGGGUAGUCCACGCCGUAAACGAUGAGUACUAGGUGUGGGGGUAGUCGACCCCCUCUCGUGCCGAAGCCAACGCGAUAAGUACUCCGCCUGGGACUACGGCCGCAACGG